GUCAUUUCAGUCAUACCCUUGCUUCCAUCUUUACUCCACGUGGUAAUGUAGUCACAGCUUCACUGCACGUGGCAUUCAUGCCAGCUCAAUCUUAAUGCUCUCAUCUAUCCAUUGAUGAAGAGGAAGAUAGAAGUUUCUGCCUUACGCUUCCCAUCUCUCAGUGCAACUUCAAUUUUCAGCCAACUAUCAACAACGAUUGGAAGUGUUCUCUGUCAAUUCUCAAACUUGGCUUUGAACAACUUUCACACAGCAGACCUAAUAGCUCCAAGCCUCCGACCAAUUUUAAAUAGGAUCUACUCCUAAUUGUGCUUGAUCAUAUAUUCCUUCAAAAUCCGUGGCUGAAAUGAUGAAACAUUCACUGCCUUUUGAACAAAGUUGAACAAGAAUAUGCACAAUGUCGAUGCUUUAACCAGAUAAGCGUGACAACAAGAUGACUGCCACCAUCAUCUGUUUUGCAAUCUGUGGAAAUCAGCCUCCGUUAAAAAAAUGUAAUUAUGGAAAUAAUAUGCAUACAACACAUAGGCAGCACAAUCGUCUUAAAUAUAAUAUAUAAGCAACAUAUGUGUAUAUAUGAGCAGCCUUUAACUAAUUUGCCGCCUAUUGUAUUUGUGACA